rnacentral:rRNA from 1 species
AUUGAACGCUGGCGGCAGGCCUAACACAUGCAAGUCGAGCGGAUGAAGGGAGCUUGCUCCUGGAUUCAGCGGCGGACGGGUGAGUAAUGCCUAGGAAUCUGCCUGGUAGUGGGGGAUAACGUCCGGAAACGGGCGCUAAUACCGCAUACGUCCUGAGGGAGAAAGUGGGGGAUCUUCGGACCUCACGCUAUCAGAUGAGCCUAGGUCGGAUUAGCUAGUUGGUGGGGUAAAGGCCUACCAAGGCGACGAUCCGUAACUGGUCUGAGAGGAUGAUCAGUCACACUGGAACUGAGACACGGUCCAGACUCCUACGGGAGGCAGCAGUGGGGAAUAUUGGACGAUGGGCGAAAGCCUGAUCCAGCCAUGCCGCGUGUGUGAAGAAGGUCUUCGGAUUGUAAAGCACUUUAAGUUGAGAGGAAGGGCAGUAAGUUAAUACCUUGCUGUUUUGACGUUACCAACAGAAUAAGCACCGGCUAACUUCGU